AUUGAACGCUGGUGGCAGGCCUAACACAUGCAAGUCGAACGAGUGGCGGACGGGUGAGUAAUUUCUGGGAAACUGCCCGAUGGAGGGGGAUAACUACUGGCAACGGUAGCUAAUCCCUCAUACCAUCGGCUGUGCCCAGAUGGGCUUAGCUAGUAGGUGGGGUAACGGCUCACCUAGGCGACGCUCCCUAGCUGGCCUGAGAGAAUGACAAGCCAAACAGGAACUGAGACGCGGUCAAGAGUCCUGCGGAUGGCUGCAGUGGGGAAUAUAGCACAAGGGGCGCGAGCCGAAUGCAGCCAUGCAGAGUGUAUGAGGAAGGCCUUCGGGUUGUAAGGUACUGAAAGCCGGGAGGCGUUACGCGCAGGAGAAGCACCGGCUAACUCCGGGCCAGCAGCCGCGGUAAUUC
rnacentral:rRNA from 1 species